rnacentral:rRNA from 1 species
GUGAGUUUGAUCAUGGCUCAGGACGAACGCUGGCGGCGUGCUUAACACAUGCAAGUCGAACGGUGAACCGCUUUCGGGCGGGGAUCAGUGGCGAACGGGUGAGUAACACGUGGGUAACCUGCCCUGAACUCUGGGAUAACUCCGGGAAACCGGGGCUAAUACCGGAUACGACCUUCUCCGGCAUCGGAGGGGGUGGAAAGUUUUUCGGUUCAGGAUGGACCCGCGGCCUAUCAGCUUGUUGGUGGGGUAAUGGCCUACCAAGGCUUUGACGGGUAGCCGGCCUGAGAGGGCGCCCGGCCACUCUGGGAGUGAGACACGGUCCAGACUCCUACGGCAGGCAGCAGUGNGGAAUAUUGCACAAUGGGCGAAAGCCUGACNCAGGGUCNCCGCGUGAGGCAUGA